AAAAAGGUAAGCUAAUUAAGCUAAUGGGUUCAUACCCCAUCCAUAGAGGUAAAAUACUCUCCUUUUUA
rnacentral:tRNA from 1 species